ACAGGGAGACCAACUCAACAGUACCAGCAGACAGUUACUGAUAACUGCUAACUGCUAACUGAUUGUAGAAUCCCAGGUCGUGCGAGUCAUCUGAAUGAAGCUUUCAAACUAUUAGUGGUUCGGUUUUUGAUCACGAAUGAUUUCAGCACCUAGACUUACUGAGUAAGUGAGAAUGCUGGGAUAAAACCAGCCAGAACCUUGAAAACUGCAUAGUAACGCGAAAAUUGUAGGCAGCUUUUACUGAUGGUCAAAAAUCAGUGAUGAAAAAUUUACAGACACCAAGAAA
rnacentral:misc_RNA from 1 species